CUACUUACCUGGCAGGGGAAAUACCAUGAUCACAAAGGUGGUUUUCCCAUAGCGAGGCGUGUGCAUUGUACUCCAGAUGUGCUGGCCCCUGUGAUUUCCCCAAACGUACUGUAUAAUUUGUGGUAGAGAAGCACUGGGGGGAAAAACAAGAGUUCGCU